AUUGAACGCUGGCGGCAGGCCUAACACAUGCAAGUCGAGCGGUAGAAGGCCUUCGUGUGCUGACGAGCGGCGGACGGGUGGGGAACGCAUAGGAAUCUGCCUAUUAGUGGGGGGUAACACGGGGAAACUCGUGCUAAUACCGCAUACGUCCUACGGGAGAAAGCGGGGGAGCGAAAGACUCGGUGCUACUAGAUGAGCCGAUGCCGGAUUAGCUAGUUGGUAGGGUAAAGGCCUACCAAGGCGGCGAUCCGUAGCUGGUCUGAGAGGAUGAUCAGGCACACUGGGACUGAGACACGGCCCAGGCUCCUACGGGAGGCAGCAGUGGGGAAUAUUGGACAAUGGGCGAAAGCCUGAUCCAGCCAUGCCGCGUGUGUGAAGAAGGCCUUCGGGUUGUAAAGCACUUUAAGUGGGGAGGAAGGUCAGUAGAUUAAUACUCUGCUGAAUUGACGUUACCCACAGAAUAAGCACCGGCUAACUCUGUGCCAGCCGCCGCGGUAA
rnacentral:rRNA from 1 species